rnacentral:tRNA from 1 species
GCCGGUGUAGCUCAGUUGGUUAGGGUUCAUACCCGUGGCGUCACUGGUUCGAAUCCAGUCACCGCUA